UACGUAGGGCGCAAGCGUUGUCCGGAAUUAUUGGGCGUAAAGAGCUCGUAGGCGGUUUGUCGCGUCUGCUGUGAAAACCUAAGGCUCAACCUUGGGCUUGCAGUGGGUACGGGCAGACUAGAGUGCGGUAGGGGUGACUGGAAUUCCUGGUGUAGCGGUGGAAUGCGCAGAUAUCAGGAGGAACACCGAUGGCGAAGGCAGGUCACUGGGCCGCAACUGACGCUGAGGAGCGAAAGCAUGGGGAGCGAACCGG
rnacentral:rRNA from 1 species